CAGCGCGAGGCGGGGCGUGGGUGCUCUCUCUCAGCCUCGGUGCUGGCGGGGGCCGAGGCCCUUCUGGAAAGGCCCCGGCGGCCUCUGUCACUUCGUCAUUUCUGAGAGUUCAGUGGGUUAGGGGAAAGAUGACGUUUUCUCUCGCCGGUCUCCAAAGGUCAGUGGAAGGUCACUGGUGGGACCGGGAGGACACAAGCUGAUGUCACACAGACCCAGAGACUUCCACGAGCCCUGGGGGAAAGCCUGAGGCAAGUCUUAUCUAACACAGCCCCUGAGAGCCGCCGAAGGCUGAAUCACCUCGCACUUCCGGAAAGAGGAGUUAAUGUCGCUGGCCCGUGCGCUUGCCCGGUGAUCCCAAAUCCCGCUGCUCGGGCGGGAGAGAGGUCAAAAGGCCAUUUGGUUCAACCCCCCGCCUGCGGGCAGGCCUCCCCCAGCAAAGGCACCGUGCGUGUUCCCUCGCGGGGCCACAGGUGAGGAUGGGCGGGGAAGCAGCCGGGAGCACCUGGAGGGAAUGAGGAAGCGGCAAUCCCCAGCACCUGCUCACAGUGCGUUGGGUGCGCAGGGUCGCGCUGCGGUGGGCGCGGGGCCUCUGUGCGGAAGGCCCGCGGUGUCGGGAGAACAGCCGCGGCCACGGCGGCCACACACACGACAGCAUUGGGACAGCAGUAAAAGCAAAAAUGCCUUGAGCACUUGCCAUGCGGUGCGGCGGCUGGACAGGCGAACCCCAUCUCACUGACUCGUCCAAACAAGCCCGUGGGCUGGAGGGGCAGGUACUGUUAGAAUUAUCCCCAAACUGAGGCUCCGAGAGGGAGGGAAUCUGCCCAGCGUCGCCUCGCUGGGAGGAAGGGGGCCCAGGACGUGGACCCAGGCGGGGCUGGCCUCAGAGCUGCGGGGUGGCUGGCCAGGGGCUCUGCCUCCCGUGGGGGCGCCCCGUGCUCGGCGGCCUCCGUGGCUUCCUGGCCGCUGCUGGACAGGUGGUUGGAGGAGACCCAGGUUACACGGCUGAUACACAGAGGGUCAGACGUCCCCCCACCCCCAGGCCUCCCUUGAGCCCCUCCUGUUCCUCCGCGUGCAGUACCCUCCGGCAGAUCUGAAUGCCCCAUGCUCCGUGGCGGAGGUGGAGGCAACUUCCCCCCACCAGGACGUACUCUCCCUACGCUCGCUUCACUGAGGUGGAUCCAGCACGUACUGUGUUCCCAUCAGACAUACGAGAGAAGCUGUGCCGUGUGUGAGAGGGGUCAGGUCACCAAGAGGAGCACUUGUCAAGAUGCAGAAGGACAUUGAGAGUCACCCAGCCACUGACAGAGCCUCAGGCGAGAGCUGGACCCCAGAAAAGGCAGCACAGAGAUUGAGAGGGACGAGGAGGGACGGGGCCAAGAGUGACUUGGAGUCCCAGAUGGCCACGGUGGGGAUGCCACCUAAUGUGGGAACCCAAGGAGAAGUGACAUUUGUCAGGAAGGCCCCAUCAGUAGGGGGCAUCCCAGGAAAUAGUAUACAGCCAUGAAGAAGAAUGACGGGCUCUUUAUAUGACAACAUGGAAGGAACUUCAAAACAGAUGAAUGAACAACCACAAAGCUCCAAACCAGCAGCCGGAAAGAGCAGCCCUUGAAGGUUUCACUGUUUCGAGGCGGUAGAAGCGGUUAUGCGAGUCGUGUUGUGGGGCGCUCUCCUCCCUCAGAUCACCUGGACAGCUGUCUGCUCACACGAACAGCACCCGGGAAAUGUAGACAGCGAUUCAAGCCAGUGGGCGCUGUGCCAGGCUGGGUCAGCCCUGAGGGCCGGGAGCUUCCCCUGGGCGGCCCGCUGCCUUGUCUCUGGCCCGAGGCUCCGUACAAAGCCCCUCCACAGAUGCGUGUGCGGGCAAACCCAGCCUGUGAGCACAAAAAAGAACCCACAGAGAACUUAGGCUCAAGAUGUCUUUCCACCUCACCCCAGAUGUCCGGAGAAGUCGAGCUCAACAGAGGUUUCCAACAGAGAGAAUCGUCCCGUGUGAGGUUCUCGGAUAACAUGGGCAUGUUGGGCAACGGCACGUUCCCCCACACGUCCACACCACCUUUACGUUUACUGCGAUCUUGGGCAUGAGAGCUGUUGGAUUCGGGGCUGGCAGGGCAGUGACGAGGCUGCUCUGGGACUGAGCUUUCCCGGGACAUGGGCUUCCGGGGGUGGGACGAGGAAGGUCCCUCGCAAAAUGGAUGUUGGGCACGUUAGCCAGAGGCAUCUUCUUACAGAGGAAGUUACUGAAGGCUGAAGACGCCCGUGGCCCCCCGCGUUGGUGCAGCCGGUCAGAGGCUGAAGCGAAUGCGCCCCCCAGGUCUCCCGACCCCCACGUGCCAUGCCACCACCCCGUGCAGACAUCGGGAUGGCGGUGGUCGCGCUGGCUCCCGGGCGGCCCUCCGCCCCCAUCCUCCCUGGUACCACCUACGUGAAGUUCAAGUCUACCGGGGUUCAAAAGACGGUUUAAAAACAACAUCCGAAACGUCUUCCAAUAGUUCAUGACUAAUGGGCUGGACUUGGCUGUCCAAUAAAUUGUCUACUCGCCGCUGCAGUUACACGGACGACCCUCAGGUGCCCUUAUCAGCACUUGAUGCUUGUGUAAACCAACCCUCAUUAACGACAGGAUGAAAGCAGGGACACUGUGCAGGCCUCCACCUGCUGUCCUCCUCACCCUUUGAAGCCCAGCUGCUAAUAGCGCCGCCGACCACAGACCUAAAAGUGGGUGGCAGGUUAUGCAGACAUGUCUCCUUUCGAACUGCUGAUGCCGGUUGUCACUUCUGCCAGAGGCUGCUUCUGUUCUUGUUGGUCACAGCAGAGCUGCCCUCGUGGGGCACAGUGAUAUCCCUACCCGAGAGAUUUGAAGAUGUGAUCAUAGAUGUGUUAAAGUUUUUACACACUGUUCACUUAAAAACAGGAUAUUUUAUCUAAAAACCGAGAGCUCUGGCUUUUCUUGCUCAGUCGGGAGACCCACCCACAGCUGGACCUUCCCUGUGGCGGCGGUUGGCUGGAUGUGGGUAGGGCCGUCCCCAGGAUGGGGACAUGCCCUGUUGUCCUGCACCAGCUCGCUGUGUCCAUAAGCCCCACACCCGGCCACUAUACACGAUGAAGUCUGGGUCUCUCAUUCUAGUCCUUAAAACCCCCACUAGGAGAGAAGAGAUGGGAAAGAGGGUACAAGAGGUGUAGAAAGAACCCCUGGCAGGAAGUCACCUGUCUGGUGGUCUGGCAUUGUG